rnacentral:tRNA from 1 species
GGUCCUAUGGCCUAGAGGCUAGGGUUAGCUCUGCAAAAGCUGCUACAGCGGUUCGAAUCCGCUCGGGAUCU